GAAAUACUCCCUUCGUUUCAUAAUUCAUUCUUGUCGAAAUAUUACAUGUAUUUAGACAUUUUUUAGAAAUAGAUACAUUCAUUUUUGGGCAAAUUUGAGACAAGAAUUAUGGAACGGAGGGAGUAGUAG
rnacentral:pre_miRNA from 1 species